rnacentral:lncRNA from 1 species
GCAUCCUCUUUCCUGGCUUUCUUUAGUCGUGCUGUCAUGGCUGCCUCGAGGUCCUGAUAGAUUAAAAACAUUGACCUUUUGUGGUCAUUUUGACUUUGAGGAAGAACCAGAAGUCACAUGGUGCCAGAUCUGGUGAAUGAGUGCCAGCAUUCUCCAUAUUUUAAAAAUAUAUUUCAGAAAAAUGCAAAAGAAGAUGUCAAGUACUGUUCAGAAAGGGGGUCUUGAGCACCUGUGGGUGUGGAGGUCUCUGUGGAGUCCUGGGGCCAGUGCACCGUGGAUGUUGAGAGAUGGCUGCAUAUAUGAAGUGAGAUGUGAGGAUUCGACAUGAAACACCAGGAGGAAUCUGCACUGAUAUUUCAGGAGCCAAUGGACAGGAUCUUCAAGGGGAACGGAGCCAUACUCAAAGUAUUGUUCUGCCACUUGUUUCCCGCAUGCAUCGGAUACCUUUCCACACAACACAAAGAUCCACUCUGCAUAUCUUUGGGAGGAAUUACAAACAACACUGCCAUGUACACCCCACUGACACAUGUACUUUUUGCACAGUUGAGAGAACAUACCCUCAGGAUAAAUUCUUCACAGUGGAAUUGCAGGGUCAAAGGGUCCUUGCGCUUGUGCAGCAGGCAACAAAACCACUGAGCUAAAUCCCUGGGCCCUCUUCACCUGUUUUUAAAUGAAUAGACGUUAUCAGCGAUUGCAGAUUCCAACUUGCCUGCUUUCCUCUGGCAGCACUGAGGCUGUGCCACGUCAUGACGAACUUUGUCUCCACGGAGAAGACUUAAAACUCAGCCACGGUCCCCCUUGAGCGCUCCUCUGGUUUGCAUUAGAAAUGCGUCUUCUCUGAUUCAGGCAUCUACUUCGGUGUACAGAGUGAGGUGGGGAAGUGAUUCAAGGCGAUCCUGUUGACUCUGUGUAGCUCAAGAUGUCAGCUCCAGGGGUGUGUGGCCAGCGAGGCUCUGGGCCCCCAUGGAAACAGAGAAGAUGUAGCAGCCUUUGUGCGAGGCCUGGGCAGGGGCUCCCCACCUUCUCUCCUCAGAUCAAGAGUGCUGUCCAUUUCCAGGCAGGAAAAUACUUGGCUGCUCUUUGAUAACCGCAAAGAGUAGACGGGAAGACAGCAAGGACAUUGAAAGAAAAAUGGAGAAUGGAGGACUUGUAUUAGAGAGGGAGGAAAACAAGUUUCAAAUGGAAUUAGUCAAAUACAUGCACGCUCUCAGAACCAAUAGGGCUUUUUUUCUACUUUGACCAUAGA